rnacentral:rRNA from 1 species
AUUGAACGCUGGUGGCGUGCCUAACACAUGCAAGUCGAACGAGAAUUUUCCUUUCGGGGAAAUAGUAAAGUGGCGCAAGGGUGAGUAACACGUGAAUAAUCUGCCUACGAAUUCGGGAUAACUCGGCGAAAGCUGUGCUAAUACCGGAUAAGACCACGUAUCAUAUGUUACGUGGCCAAAGGAGUCUCAAACUCCGUUUGUAGAUGAGUUCGCGGACCAUUAGCUUGUUGGCGGGAUAACAGCCCACCAAGGCGACGAUGGUUAGCCGGCCUGAGAGGGCGAUCGGCCACACUGGAACUGAGACACGGUCCAGACUCCUACGGGAGGCGGCAGUGGGGAAUAUUGCACAAUGGAGGAAACUCUGAUGCAGCAAUGCCGCGUGAGUGAAG